rnacentral:rRNA from 1 species
AGAGUUUGAUCCUGGCUCAGGACGAACGCUGGCGGCGUGCUUAACACAUGCAAGUCGAACGGAAAGGCCCUGCUUUUGUGGGGUGCUCGAGUGGCGAACGGGUGAGUAACACGUGAGUAACCUGCCCUUGACUUUGGGAUAACUUCAGGAAACUGGGGCUAAUACCGGAUAGGAGCUCCUGCUGCAUGGUGGGGGUUGGAAAGUUUCGGCGGUUGGGGAUGGACUCGCGGCUUAUCAGCUUGUUGGUGGGGUAGUGGCUUACCAAGGCUUUGACGGGUAGCCGGCCUGAGAGGGUGACCGGCCACAUUGGGACUGAGAUACGGCCCAGACUCCUACGGGAGGCAGCAGUGGGGAAUAUUGCACAAUGGGCGGAAGCCUGAUGCAGCAACGCCGCGUGCGGGAUGACGGCCUUCGGGUUGUAAACCGCUUUCGCCUGUGACGAAGCGUGAGUGACGGUAAUGGGUAAAGAAGCACCGGCUAACUACGUGCCAGCAGCCGCGGUAAUA